rnacentral:misc_RNA from 1 species
UAAUAUGAACGCGUCCAUGUGUUUGUCUUGUGGAAUUUGUUGUGGUCUGCGUCGUAGUUGCGAAUGACGUUCCAGCGAAGAUAGUAUUGUGUAGCGAAAUGAAUAUUCUACGUCGCUUCGGUGAUGUUCCUCUCCUGAAAGAUAUGUGCCUGGAUGCUCUUACUGACUACUCAGAAGCGGAAUGGGUUCAGCACCUCGUACUGCCACCGGCCCUUGCCGAUUAUUAUUAUGCACGGCUGCACAGGCGACAGUUGAUUAACGACCAUCUUGUGCCACUGGUCCUGCAUGCCAAGUCCCUUGAAGCUGACUUGUCUCAGAACCUGAUUACAGAAGGUGCACUCAUUCACCUCAGACGAUGCACCAUGCUCAAAAAGCUGACUCUCUCUUCAUGGCGUUUGGAUGACACUCUGUGCGAAAUGAGUCUCUUGGAAACUGUCAAGUGUUUUCACGAGCUGGAGUGGCUUGAAUUGAGUAGGCUUGAUGCAGUCACGGAUGCUGUCCUCGCAACUGUUGCAAAGCAGAACAAACACCUCACAGUUGUUAAACUGAAUGGGUGUGAGAACCUAGGUGAUGAUGGCCUCAAAGCGCUGGGGCAGAACUGCCAUUUUUUGAAAUCCGUUGACUUCUCUGAAACUCAGAUAACUUCUCGUGGUUUGGAUGCCUUGGUCAAAGGUCCCUGCAGUGCCACCUUAGAGGAGUUCCUUGCCAAUCGAUGCAGCAAGCUUGGAGCCGAUGCAGUGACGACCCUCAUGACUAACUGCCCAUCGCUCCAAAUACUGAGCUUGGCAGACUGCCACCAGAUACUGUUUGGUGUGUUGAUGCAGCACCCGAGGCAGUACCAGUGAGGAUGGAGAGGAAGGGCCAGUUGUCGUGGUUUGUCUUCUGCUGACUGUCACUGGGAGGUGUGCUUCACCACAUGAAGUCUGUCAUCGGCAUUUAUCACUUUUGCUGGCCAACAGCUGGCACGGAAUGCUCACCUUUCGGUUUUAUUUUAAUUACACUUUCCAAGGAGGCUGUUGGACUGUUCGAACUCAUUCUUACAGACAUUGCUUCAACUCAUUAUAUACAUUGUGUUUACUUCGUUUUAUGACGAAUAAAUAUUUUUCUCAAACAAC